rnacentral:rRNA from 1 species
UACGUAGGGACCGAGCGUUGUCCGGAAUCAUUGGGCGUAAAGAGCGUGUAGGCGGCUUGGUAGGUCCGCUGUGAAAACUCGAGGCUCAACCUCGAGAUGUCGGCGGAAACCACUUGGCUAGAGUCCGGAAGAGGAGAGUGGAAUUCCUGGUGUAGCGGUGAAAUGCGCAGAUAUCAGGAAGAACACCUAUGGCGAAGGCAGCUCUCUGGGACGGUACUGACGCUGAGACGCGAAAGCGUGGGGAGCGAACAGG